rnacentral:tRNA from 1 species
CGGCCACCAGGUCGUGCAGUUGGACGGGCCGCGGUGCGGCUGCGGGCGGCGCGGCUGCGUCGAGGCGCUGUGCCUGGCGGCGGUGGCCCGC